UAAGGAUUUAAACCACAACUCCAUAAGCUCUUGUGGGCUUUCUUUUCUUUCCCAAUUAAUUUACUUGCUAGAUUAGGGGUGAGAACUGAACCCAAAACACCCACACACGCACAUAAAUAUAUUAAGAAUUUUUUAAUACAAUCACAAUCCAUCACUUAUAGUACCACCCACCGCCACUAUAUGGCCACUACCAAAGUUCAACCAAUAUAAAAUAUUUAUUAAAUUUAUAUUAUUAUUUAUAAAAGUAAAUGUGAUAAUUAGCUUUUUAAUCAUUAUCCUAUUUUUAUUAUACUCUGAAAACUAUUAAAAGCUAAGGAACCAUAAAACUUUAAUCCUUUCACCUGCUAUGGGACAAGAACUCGAAAAAUACAAUACUAAUUUAAUAGCUUAAUCAUUGCAUCUUUAAUAAUGUACUUACGUAACGUUUCAGCCACAUUCAUUGAAAGAAAGGGACAAGACUACCUCAUUAUAGUGGUGUAUUAAUCUAACCACUAUAUUGAUAUCACUAAGCAACAUCAUUUAGGACAACUAUAGAGGCAAGCUUCACAACUUGAA
rnacentral:misc_RNA from 1 species